UGGUGAAAAUGGCUUUCCUUAAGAGCUCUCAAGUCAUGUUGAUGGCCCUUUUCGUAGGAAUCAUCCUUCUCAUGUCCUCUGAGGUCGCUACUGCAACAACACAACUUAAAUUUGGACGAAGGGUUCUAGGCGUACCAAAUGACGACUACCAUGAUCAUCCAAUUGGCUAUCCCGUAGGAAGGGCAGGAUACCAAUACCCUCCUCCAUAACCAUAGUCAUGUAGAAAUUCAAAUAAAAUUUGCUACCUGAAUAAGAGAUUAGCUAAGAUGCUAUCUGAUGAUGUCUACAGAUAAUUAAGGGUGACUGUGAGUUAUGCUUAUGCUUGAUGCUUGAAUCGUGGGGUCAGAAUAUAUUUAGUAUUGUGAAGCAAUAUGUAAGGCGGAAUUAUCAACAAAAUAAUACAUCUGGAUGAUGUUAGUAUUGGGAUGUAUAAGAUUGAUGAGUAUCUUAAAAGAGAUGUAUUUCAUUUCUGGCUUUAUACAUUAAUCUCCUUGUGUUGGAUGUCA